ACUCAAAUGAAUUGACGGGGACCCGCACAAGCAGCGGAGCAUGUGGUUUAAUUCGACGAAACGCGAAGAACCUUACCUGGGUUUGACAUGUGCCUGACCGCCGUGGAAACACGGCUUCCUCUUUGAGGCAGGUUCACAGGUGGUGCAUGGCUGUCGUCAGCUCGUGUCGUGAGAUGUUGGGUUAAGUCCCGCAACGAGCGCAACCCCCGUCGCAUGUUGCCAGCAUUUAGUUGGGGACUCAUGCGAGACUGCCGGUGACAAACCGGAGGAAGGUGGGGAUGACGUCAAGUCCUCAUGCCCCUUAUGUCCAGGGCUACACACGUGCUACAUUGGCCGGUACAAAGGGCUGCGAUACCGUGAGGUGGAGCGAAUCCCAUAAAGCCGGUCUCGGUUCGGAUUGGAGGCUGAAACUCGCCUCCAUGAAGGUGGAGUUGCUAGUAAUCCCGGAUCAGCAACGCCGGGGUGAAUACGUUCCCGGGUCUUGUACACACCGCCCGU
rnacentral:rRNA from 1 species